rnacentral:rRNA from 1 species
GACAGAGGAUGCAAGCGUUAUCCGGAAUGAUUGGGCGUAAAGCGUCUGUAGGUGGCUUUUUAAGUCUGCCGUCAAAUCCCAGGGCUUAACCCUGGACAGGCGGUGGAAACUACCAAGCUGGAGUACGGUAGGGGCAGAGGGAAUUUCCAGUGGAGCGGUGAAAUGUGUAGAUACUGGAAAGACCACCGAUGGCGAAGGCACUCUACUGGGCCAUGACUGACACUGAGAGACGAAAGCUAGGGGAGCAAAUGGG